rnacentral:rRNA from 1 species
AGAUUGAACGCUGGCGGUAUGCUUAACACAUGCAAGUCGAACGAGGAAGCAGCUGCUUGCAGUUGUGGACUAGUGGCGGACGGGUGAGUAACGCGUGGGAAUCUGCCUGGUAGUGGGGGACAGCCCGGAGAAAUCCGGAUUAAUACCGCAUACCUUCUACGGAAGAAAGGCUUCGGCCGCUACCAGAUGAGCCCGCGUUAGAUUAGCUAGUUGGAGAGGUAAGAGCUCCCCAAGGCAACGAUCUAUAGCUGGUCUGAGAGGACGAUCAGCCACAUCGGGACUGAGACACGGCCCGGACUCCUACGGGAGGCAGCAGUGGGGAAUAUUGGACAAUGGACGCAAGACUGAUCCAGCAAUACCGCGUGUGUGAAGAAGGCCUGAGGGUUGUAAAGCACUUUCAGUGGGGAAGAUAAUGACGUUACCCACAGAAGAAGCACCGGCUAACUCCGUGCCAGCAGCCGCGGUAAUACGGAGGGUGCAAGCGUUAAUCGGAAUUACUGGGCGUAAAGCGCGCGUAGGCGGUUAAAUAAGUCAGAUGUGAAAUCCCUGGGCUCAACCUAGGAACUGCAUCUGAUACUGUUUAACUAGAGUUUUGGAGAGG